CCUACGGGUGGCAGCAGUGAGGAAUAUUGGUCAAUGGACGAGAGCCUGAACCAGCCAAGUAGCGUGAAGGAUGACUGCCCUAUGGGUUGUAAACUUCUUUUAUAUGGGAGUAAAAUGUUCCACGUGUGGGAUUUUGUAUGUACCAUAAGAAUAAGGAUCGGCUAACUCCGUGCCAGCAGCCGCGGUAAUACGGAGGGUCCGAGCGUUAUCCGGAUUUAUUGGGUUUAAAGGGAGCGUAGGUGGAUUGUUAAGUCAGUUGUGAAAGUUUGCGGCUCAACCGUAAAAUUGCAGUUGAAACUGGCAGUCUUGAGUGCAGUAGAGGUGGGCGGAAUUCGUGGUGUAGCGGUGAAAUGCUUAGAUAUCACGAAGAACUCCGAUUGCGAAGGCAGCUCACUGGACUGCAACUGACACUGAGGCUCGAAAGUGUGGGUAUCAAACAGGAUUAGAUACCCCUGUAGUC
rnacentral:rRNA from 1 species